rnacentral:rRNA from 1 species
UACGUAGGGGGCAAGCGUUGUCCGGAUUUAUUGGGCGUAAAGCGCGUGUAGGCGGCCACACAGGUCCGCUGUGAAAACUCGAGGCUCAACCUCGAGCUGUCGGUGGAAACCGUGUGGCUAGAGUCCGGAAGAGGAGACUGGAAAUUCCCGGUGUAGCGGUGGAAUGCGCAGAUAUCGGGAGGAACACCAGUAGCGAAGGCGGCACCCUGGGCCGGUACUGACGCUGAGGAGCGAAAGCGUGGGGAGCGAACAGG